rnacentral:rRNA from 1 species
AUUGAACGCUGGCGGCAGGCUUAACACAUGCAAGUCGAGCGGAGAUGAGGUGCUUGCACCUUAUCUUAGCGGCGGACGGGUGAGUAAUGCUUAGGAAUCUGCCUAUUAGUGGGGGACAACAUUCCGACAGGAAUGCUAAUACCGCAUACGUCCUACGGGAGACAGCAGGGGAUCUUCGGACCUUGCGCUAAUAGAUGAGCCUAAGUCGGAUUAGCUAGUUGGUGGGGUAAAGGCCUACCAAGGCGACGAUCUGUAGCGGGUCUGAGAGGAUGAUCCGCCACACUGGGACUGAGACACGGCCCAGACUCCUACGGGAGGCAGCAGUGGGGAAUAUUGGACAAUGGGGGAACCCUGAUCCAGCCAUGCCGCGUGUGUGAAGAAGGCCUUAUGGUUGUAAAGCACUUUAAGCGAGGAGGAGGCUACUGAGACUAAUACUCUUGGAUAGUGGACGUUACUCGCAGAAUAAGCACCGGCUAACUCUGUGCCAGCCGCCGCCGUAACAC